CUGGAGGGAGCCGGGGAGAUUGGCGGUGGUGGCGACUCGUGGCAGCUGCCUGCAAAGCACGGGGGUGGGGGCGCCUGUCCCCUCGUGCGCUCGCCGGUGGGGUCUGCCUGGCACGGCUCGCGACCCCUGAGCAGCCCGGCCAGCCUGCAUGGAAGACAGUCAGUGUGGGUGACGGCUCGGAUCACCCAGCUCCCCGGGCAGUGGUUUCCACUUUCCCCCUGCACGGGGUGACAGAUGGCGAGCCUGGCACCUGUACUGCAAACGGGUGGCAGAGGAGAGAAGAGCCUUGUUGUGGCACCGAUUGCGGUACUGGGGAGGUUGCUCUGAGGUCUUUCUCAGUAGGAGAGAUGAGCCUUGCCCAGGAGGCAGCAGGCAUCGGUGUGUCUAGCGUUAUCUUUGUUACCGGUCAGACCUUUCAGACUAGACAACAAACCUGCCUGGAAUCCCAAACAUGCUUGUUGGGAUUACGGACCAGAUUCUUGUUUCAGCUGUUAACCUCGUGCGUAUGAGUAACUGCGCUGCAUCGAGCCAGUGGAUUUACAGCAAUGUAUCAGCGCAGAAUUUAACCUCUAUAUUUAGUCAUUGAGGGAAAGUAGAUCAUUAUUCAUUAAACCGUCAAUGAAGUAAUUGCAAGCUCAAGAGAGUUGCAGUGAUUUUCUUUGCAUAUUCCGGAGUAACUGGUUUUAACAUAAAAUGUGGGGCUUGAAGUUCGCCUAUUGAAACUUUUCCUGUUAUCACAAAACCAAAGGAUGUGAGAGUGGAUUGUAUGUAAAGAUGAUGAAAGCUAAAUUAUUACCUUUUUAUUUUGUUAUAUUUAUCUGAGGUUGCUUGUUUCUUAUCAGUCUUUUGGAAAACUCAACUCUUUGUCUAGAUUCUCUUAUAUACCAGUUAACGUGACUGGACUACACUUCCUGUCAUCUAGCAAGUGGACCAGAAGAUUUUCAAAGAGAGCCACAUAAUUCCCACUGACCACAGAAAGUUGAAAAAUUCCUCUUUCUAAAUGUGGAGGUUAUGAUUCAAGUUAAUUUUAACAUUCAAAUGAGCAGUUGAGGCCUUUGAGGUAUGCCCAUCACUGAUCAAUACCCUUACCGGUAGGAGAAAGGUAUUAUAGGAGAAAGGAAAAUAAAUGGGAUCAGGAGUUUGUUGCAAAAAAUCUUAAAACACAAAAAACAAGGUCAUUUAGUACAUGACUCAGGGACCAACACAGGAUAUCGAAAUAUAGUUCUGUAUUAUCCAUUGUUUUGCCCAGUCUCAUUGUAAUUGCCCCAAGUACGUGGUUUCCACCAUUUCACUUGCGAAACUACUCUGUAAUCUACUAGAUCUUAGGUACGAAUUUUUCGUCCUUUUCACCAACACCACCAAAGAAAAAAGGCUUGUUUUUAUUCUACCAUCUCCCACCCUCCACUGUUAGUCUACAACACUACAAUUAAAAGCAAUCCUGUUA